rfam:Stegodyphus mimosarum contig92700, whole genome shotgun sequence.
GCCUUCGUGGUGUAAUGGUCAGCACACUGAGCCGGUAUUUCAGAGGUCCGUGGGAUCGAUUCCCGGCGAAGGAA